AGAAAUUUAGUGUGUCGUUUCGAUCUCCAUAACGACUCAAAAUCAAUCAGAUAUUGACGGUUUAUUCUCCACAAAAGUUACAAAUUAAUGGCUCCAGUUAACCUUUACAGCUUCUUUACUUUAUAGUAUCAGUUUCCGUUUCGUACUCCUAUUAUAACAGUUCCAGUUUCAAACCUUCAAUCAUCCUUUUCACCUCGAUAUUUUGGAGAACCCAUCACCUCGAUCAUCACUGAAAGAUUUUUCAGAGAAUCAAAGACAACUUUAGCUUUUCGGUAUUACUAGCAACGACGAGGAUGGUGAGUACUUUCUUCGCCAACUGAAAUUAGAAGAUUCCUGCAGAUAGAGUCAUGAUGCAAUCAUGCAAAACGAUGGGUCUCUGAUAUUCAUAACUACGAUGAUAAACUCUCCAAGGCGGUUAAGCUGUUAGGGGUAUUCUCGAAGGAUUGAACACCAGCAAGCAGUUAUAGAGACUGCAAUGCUCAACGAGAAGAGUGUUAAGGGACCAUUAUAUAUUUUUACUGAUUUUUUUCUGUGUUAAUAGCUUCACUAUUGAUGUAUAUUCACAGAUGGAUUGACAUAUCAUAUAAAGUUUGACCCUGCCUCAAACUGAGAUUGUGUAAUGAAGGUGAGGACAAAAAAUCUUCAGAUACAAAAGAAACCUCAAAGUUGGGGAAAGACGGAAAGAGGUGGAUCUUGCUCAAUUCCUGCUUGAUGAUAUCAUGAGAAUGGGUUAACAUGAUGAGGCGUCAAAGCCUUGAACUCCGUAUCUCGGCAAACAUAGAGACAAAUCGGAUGAUCGUUCAAUAUCAAAGACAUCAGUCGUGGUCAUUUAGACAGAAGAAGUUUCAUAUCUGAUAGAAUGUCCACACCGAAGUUUCAUAUCUGAUAGCAGGAGCUUGUGUUUGGUCUCUCUCUGACAAUGAUGAUCUUGUUGAAGAGAUGACUAGGCGCUCAGCUCACAAGAAUAUUGCAGAGAAAUUCAAUGCAUCGAUGUUAAGGAAUCAGCUACAAUAUGUAAUAACAACAACCCCUGCGAGCUAGCAGAACCUGAGGAUGGCAAUGGUGAAACAGAUGUCGGCAAAAAAGUUAGGUUGAGAAGUUGUAACCACGGAGAGACUGCCAGGCCUGAUCACUCCACCAGAAGACCUAUGGCGGAAUUCCUCGGAAUACGAAAGAGUCACAAGAUUGUGUUUUCUGAUUUGGAGUUCGGUUCUAGAGUGUCGAGGAAUGAUUAUGUGUCUUCUUGCGGGAGCGAUUAUACUUGCGUUCAGAGCAUCAGAACGCUAUUGGAGCUAAGUUAAUGGACUUAAAAAAGUUAAGGGUGGAAGCUUGCGCACAUAACUACAUCUUCCACGAUUUUAAAGCAUCUGAAAUAGUAAUGUUUCGUCUUCACCUUAAGUCUUUAAUUUUCUUAUGUAACUUUGUACUUAAUGUACUAUUAUUAGAUCAAUCUUCAGUGUUGAAUAUAUAAG